UACAGAGGUCUCAAGCGUUGUUCGGAUUCAUUGGCGUAAAGGGUGCGUAGGCGGCGCGGUAAGUCGGGUGUGAAAGUCUCGGAGCUUAACUCCGAACUGCAUUCGAUACUACCGUGCUUGAGGACUGGAGAGGAGACUGGAAUUUACGGUGUAGCGGUGAAAUGCGUAGAUAUCGUAAGGAAGACCAGUGGCGAAGGCGGGUCUCUGGACAGUUCCUGACGCUGAGGCACGAAGGUCAGGGGAGCAAACGGG
rnacentral:rRNA from 1 species